UGCCCCAUUGCAAAUAUUCAUGGACACAGUUCACGUUUGUGUCCUAUGGAACAAUGUGGCUACAGUGAAAGCAGGUUUUGCUUCCAUCACAGUAAAAAUAAGUUACUCUGGUGACAAUGAGACCUGUAACAGGA